UACGUAGGUGGCAAGCGUUGUCCGGAUUUAUUGGGCGUAAAGAGCGUGUAGGCGGCUUGGUAGGUCCGCUGUGAAAACUCGAGGCUCAACCUCGAGAUGUCGGCGGAAACCACUUGGCUAGAGUCCGGAAGAGGAGAGUGGAAUUCCCGGUGUAGCGGUGAAAUGCGCAGAUAUCGGGAGGAACACCCGUGGCGAAAGCGGCGCACUGGACCACAACUGACGCUGAGGCGCGAAAGCUAGGGGAGCAAACAGG
rnacentral:rRNA from 1 species